GGGGUCGAGGACAGUCGGGCUGCAGAGGACUUCCAUGAAGAUCAGGGCCAGCAGAUGAGAACAUCAUGUACUCCUCUCUGAAACACUACUACCUGCUGCUGCUUCUGCUCCUCCAACACCUGGCCCAUCCACUCCAGCUGCUGUUCCCACAGAGACCCCAAGGAGGAGACCCCUGAGUGACUCCAGACAGCAGCUGACGGAGGUGGAGAGGAUGUUGCUGGAGGCCCUGAGGACCAGUCCACCUGCAGCAGGAGGUG